GACGAACGCUGGCGGCGUGCUUAACACAUGCAAGUCGAACGGAAAGGCCCUGCGUUUGUGGUGUUCUCGAGUGCCGAACGGGUGAGUAACACGUGAGUAACAUGCCCUUGACUUUGGGAUAACUUCAGGAAACUCGGGCUAAUACCGGAUAGGAUCUCCUGCUGCAUGGUGUGGGUUGGAAAGUUUCGGCGGUGUGGGAUGGACUCGCGGCUUAUCAGCUUGUUGGUGUGGUAGUGGCUUACGAAGGCUUUGACGGGUAGCCGGCCUGAGAGGGUGGCCGGCGACAUGGGGACUGCGGGAGGGCGCAGAAUCCUAUGGGAGGCAGCAGUGGGGAAUAUUGCAGAAUGGGCGGAAGCCAGAUGCAGCAGCGCCGCGUGCGGGAUGCCGGGUUUUGGGUUGUAAACAGAUUUGGACUGUGACGAAGCGUGAGUGACGGUAAUGAAUAAAGAAGCAACGGCUAACUACGUG
rnacentral:rRNA from 1 species